GACGAACGCUUGCGGCGUGCUUAACACAUGCAAGUCGAACGGAAAGGCCCUGCUUUUGUGGGGUGCUCGAGUGGCGAACGGGUGAGUAACACGUGAGUAACCUGCCCUUGACUUUGGGAUAACUUCAGGAAACUGGGGCUAAUACCGGAUAGGAGCUCCUGCUGCAUGGUGGGGGUUGGAAAGUUUCGGCGGUUGGGGAUGGACUCGCGGCUUAUCAGCUUGUUGGUGGGGUAGUGGCUUACCAAGGCUUUGACGGGUAGCCGGCCUGAGAGGGUGACCGGCCACAUUGGGACUGAGAUACGGCCCAGACUCCUACGGGAGGCAGCAGUGGGGAAUAUUGCACAAUGGGCGGAAGCCUGAUGCAGCAACGCCGCGUGCGGGAUGACGGCCUUCGGGUUGUAAACCGCUUUCGCCUGUGACGAAGCGUGAGUGACGGUAAUGGGUAAAGAAGCACCGGCUAACUACGUGCCAGCAGCCGCGGUGAUACGUAGGGUGCGAGCGUUGUCCGGAUUUAUUGGGCGUAAAGGGCUCGUAGGUGGUUGAUCGCGUCGGAAGUGUAAUCUUGGGGCUUAACCCUGAGCGUGCUUUCGAUACGGGUUGACUUGAGGAAGGUAGGGGAGAAUGGAAUUCCUGGUGGAGCGGUGGAAUGCGCAGAUAUCAGGAGGAACACCAGUGGCGAAGGCGGUUCUCUGGGCCUUUCCUGACGCUGAGGAGCGAAAGCGUGGGGAGCGAACAGGCUUAGAUACCCUGGUAGUCCACGCUGUAAACGGUGGGUACUAGGUGUGGGGUCCAUUCCACGGGUUCCGUGCCGUAGCUAACGCUUUAAGUACCCCGCCUGGGGAGUACGGCCGCAAGGCUAAAACUCAAAGGAAUUGACGGGGCCCCGCACAAGCGGCGGAGCAUGCGGAUUAAUUCGAUGCAACGCGUAGAACCUUACCUGGGUUUGACAUGGAUCGGGAGUGCUCAGAGAUGGGUGUGCCUCUUUUGGGGUCGGUUCACAGGUGGUGCAUGCCUGUCGUCAGCUCGUGUCGUGAGAUGUUGGGUUAAGUCCCGCAACGAGCGCAACCCUUGUUCACUGUUGCCAGCACGUUAUGGUGGGGACUCAGUGGAGACCGCCGGGGUCAACUCGGAGGAAGGUGGGGAUGACGUCAAGUCCUCAUGCCCCUUAUGUCCAGGGCUUCACGCAUGCUACAAUGGCUGGUACAGAGAGUGGCGAGCCUGUGAGGGUGAACGAAUCUCGGAAAGCCGGUCUCAGUUCGGAUUGGGGUCUGCAACUCGACCUCAUGAAGUCGGAGUCGCUAGUAAUCGCAGAUCAGCAACGCUGCGGUGAAUACGUUCCCGGG
rnacentral:rRNA from 1 species